UGGGGAAUAUUGGGCAAUGGGGGAAACCCUGACCCAGCAACGCCGCGUGAGGGAAGAAGGUUUUCGGAUCGUAAACCUCUGUCCUUGGUGAAGAGCAGAAGACGGUAGCCAAGGAGGAAGCCCCGGCUAACUACGUGCCAGCAGCCGCGGUAAUACGUAGGGGGCAAGCGUUGUCCGGAAUGAUUGGGCGUAAAGGGCGCGUAGGCGGCCUGUUAAGUCUGGAGUGAAAGUCCUGCUUUCAAGGUGGGAAUUGCUUUGGAAACUGGCGGGCUGGAGUGCAGGAGAGGUUAGCGGAAUUCCCGGUGUAGCGGUGAAAUGCGUAGAGAUCGGGAGGAACACCAGUGGCGAAGGCGGCUAACUGGACUGUAACUGACGCUGAGGCGCGAAAGUGUGGGGAGCAAACAGGAUUAGAUACCCUGGUAGUCCACACGGUAAACGAUGAAUGCUAGGUGUAGGGGGUAUCGACCCCUUCUGUGCCGGAGUAAACACAAUAAGCAUUCCGCCUGGGGAGUACGGCCGCAAGGUUG
rnacentral:rRNA from 1 species